CCUACGGGAGGCAGCAGUAAGGAAUAUUGGUCAAUGGGCGCAAGCCUGAACCAGCCAUGCCGCGUGCAGGAAGACGGCCCUAUGGGUUGUAAACUGCUUUUGAACAAGAGAAAACCUCGGUACGUGUACCGAGCUGAUAGUAUUGUUAGAAUAAGCAUCGGCUAACUUCGUGCCAGCAGCCGCGGUAAGACGAAGGAUGCAAGCGUUAUCCGGAUUCAUUGGGUUUAAAGGGUGCGUAGGCGGCCUGAUAAGUCAGUGGUGAAAUCUCUCAGCUUAACUGAGAAACUGCCAUUGAUACUGUCGGGCUUGAGUACAGAUGAUGUGGGCGGAAAUAUGACAUGUAGUGGUGAAAUACUUAGAUAUGUCAUAGAACACCGAUUGCGAAGGCAGCUCACAAAACUGUAACUGACGCUGGAGCGACGAAGUAGCGGGAGUACAACAAGAGUAGUAUACCUACGGUACGUACCGCCGACCGUAACCGAACGUAGUAUUACUUACGUUGUUGGUCGUAAUAUAGUACCGUACGACG
rnacentral:rRNA from 1 species